AAGUUUCCAAGCUGACCCGGUUUCUGCUUACAAGGAUCGGUUAGAAUAGUUUAUUCUCCUGUUUAGUCCCGGCCACCUAAGCCAUGGGUUUCGACCGCAAUUCUUGAUUGUUUUAUAAUGCUGCUAAACUUGCUCUUUUUUUUCCACCAAUGAGCUAUAUCAGUUUUUCUUUCUGCAGGCAUUUCUUUGUAAUCCUUCACAUUUCAUCCAUGCGAUUGCUGGCUUAAGUUUGCGGAAUUGAUCCUCUAGCAAAAUAGUAGUUGGGAAUGGGAACUGAAGAACCGAAAGACCCUUUGAAGGGGAUGGACUGGAAAGCCAUCGGCAGUGACCUACAGAAGGAUCCUUCUGCUAAACCAAUUGUAAAGAAGCGAUUGCCAAGAAAGAUUAGGCAAAUACCGGACUAUUAUUUUCUUUCUUGAAGAUCUUUGGCCUCAACUAUUGCCUUUUAUGGGGCAUGCAUUGCUGGUGGAAUUGGUGCUGGAAUGCUGCUGGAGAUCUGGAUAAACAAGAAAAUCAAAGAGGAUGGAGGCAUGAUUUGGGAGUUCAACAAGUAGAGGCAGUGUGGCGUGCUUGCUUGGCAAAUUAAUCAACACGGUUGAGAUCAUGCAUGAAGUGUAAAGUGGUUUUACCUCAGCUGAUCAUGUGGAGUGUACAUGGAUUCAUGGGAUAUGGGUUUCUUCUGAGUAAUAAAGUUCAAUAACAGGAUCGUGAGAUCCACCAAAGAAGUUGGUACUUAAUGCAGACAAAGUUAUUAUGGACUGCAUUCGUUUUCAAUUCAGUAUUUUUUUGCCAAUCAUCGUAACACCUCGAGUAUGACAACAUGGAGGGAUUGCGAAAUGAUACCUGAGACGAAACACGGUGCAAGAAAUCUCCACUUAAGUACUCAUCUUAGGAGUUUCACCCUUGUGCUUAGGCACGAGUAGUCACUAACAUGGCUGUGAUAGUGUGAUGUCUUGAGAUUGGUGAAACAUAUAUACAGCAGCUUCUCGUUUCAAUGCUAUUGCUACUGCCA